GACGUAGGGUGCGAGCGUUGUCCGGAUUUAUUGGGCGUAAAGAGCUCGUAGGCGGCUCGUCGCGUCAGCUGUGAAAUCUCGUGGCUUAACUGCGGGCUUGCAGCUGAUACGGGCGGGCUAGAGUUCGGUAGGGGGAGACUGGAAUUCCUGGUGUAGCGGGUGGAAAUGCGCAGAUAUCAGGAGGAACACCGGUGGCGAAGGCGGGGUCUCUGGGGCAUUUAACUGACGUGAGGAGCGAAAAGCAUGGGGGGAGCGAAACAGG
rnacentral:rRNA from 1 species